AGACCCGAAACCCGGUGAUCUAGCCAUGGGCAGGUUGAAGGUUGGGUAACACUAACUGGAGGACCGAACCGACUAAUGUUGAAAAAUUAGCGGAUGACCUGUGGCUGGGGGUGAAAGGCCAAUCAAACCGGGAGAUAGCUGGUUCUCCCCGAAAGCUAUUUAGGUAGCGCCUCGUGAAUUCAUCUCCGGGGGUAGAGCACUGUUUCGGCUAGGGGGCCAUCCCGGCUUACCAACCCGAUGCAAACUGCGAAUACCGGAGAAUGUUAUCACGGGAGACACACGGCGGGUGCUAACGUCCGUCGUGAAGAGGGAAACAACCCAGACCGCCAGCUAAGGUCCCAAAGUCAUGGUUAAGUGGGAAACGAUGUGGGAAGGCCCAGACAGCCAGGAUGUUGGCUUAGAAGCAGCCAUCAUUUAAAGAAAGCGUAAUAGCUCACUGGUCGAGUCGGCCUGCGCGGAAGAUGUAACGGGGCUAAACCAUGCACCGAAGCUGCGGCAGCGACACUGUGUGUUGUUGGGUAGGGGAGCGUUCUGUAAGCCUGCGAAGGUGGCCUGUGAGGGUUGCUGGAGGUAUCAGAAGUGCGAAUGCUGACAUAAGUAACGAUAAAGCGGGUGAAAAGCCCGCUCGCCGGAAGACCAAGGGUUCCUGUCCAACGUUAAUCGGGGCAGGGUGAGUCGACCCCUAAGGCGAGGCCGAAAGGCGUAGUCGAUGGGAAACGGGUUAAUAUUCCCGUACUUGGUGUUACUGCGAAGGGGGGACGGAGAAGGCUAUGUUGGCCGGGCGACGGUUGUCCCGGUUUAAGCGUGUAGGUGUGUGUUCCAGGUAAAUCCGGUUCACUUUAACACUGAGGCGUGACGACGAGGCACUACGGUGCUGAAGCAACAAAUGCCCUGCUUCCAGGAAAAGCCUCUAAGCAUCAGGUAACAUCAAAUCGUACCCCAAACCGACACAGGUGGUCAGGUAGAGAAUACCAAGGCGCUUGAGAGAACUCGGGUGAAGGAACUAGGCAAAAUGGUGCCGUAACUUCGGGAGAAGGCACGCUGACACGUAGGUGAAGUGAUUUACUCAUGGAGCUGAAGUCAGUCGAAGAUACCAGCUGGCUGCAACUGUUUAUUAAAAACACAGCACUGUGCAAACACGAAAGUGGACGUAUACGGUGUGACGCCUGCCCGGUGCCGGAAGGUUAAUUGAUGGGGUCAGCGCAAGCGAAGCUCCUGAUCGAAGCCCCGGUAAACGGCGGCCGUAACUAUAACGGUCCUAAGGUAGCGAAAUUCCUUGUCGGGUAAGUUCCGACCUGCACGAAUGGCGUAAUGAUGGCCAGGCUGUCUCCACCCGAGACUCAGUGAAAUUGAACUCGCUGUGAAGAUGCAGUGUACCCGCGGCAAGACGGAAAGACCCCGUGAACCUUUACUAUAGCUUGACACUGAACAUUGAGCCUUGAUGUGUAGGAUAGGUGGGAGGCUUUGAAGUGUGGACGCCAGUCUGCAUGGAGCCGACCUUGAAAUACCACCCUUUAAUGUUUGAUGUUCUAACGUGGACCCGUUACCCGGGUUGCGGACAGUGUCUGGUGGGUAGUUUGACUGGGGCGGUCUCCUCCUAAAGAGUAACGGAGGAGCACGAAGGUUGGCUAAUCCUGGUCGGACAUCAGGAGGUUAGUGCAAUGGCAUAAGCCAGCUUGACUGCGAGCGUGACGGCGCGAGCAGGUGCGAAAGCAGGUCAUAGUGAUCCGGUGGUUCUGAAUGGAAGGGCCAUCGCUCAACGGAUAAAAGGUACUCCGGGGAUAACAGGCUGAUACCGCCCAAGAGUUCAUAUCGACGGCGGUGUUUGGCACCUCGAUGUCGGCUCAUCACAUCCUGGGGCUGAAGUAGGUCCCAAGGGUAUGGCUGUUCGCCAUUUAAAGUGGUACGCGAGCUGGGUUUAGAACGUCGUGAGACAGUUCGGUCCCUAUCUGCCGUGGGCGCUGGAGAACUGAGGGGGGCUGCUCCUAGUACGAGAGGACCGGAGUGGACGCAUCACUGGUGUUCGGGUUGUCAUGCCAAUGGCACUGCCCGGUAGCUAAAUGCGGAAGAGAUAAGUGCUGAAAGCAUCUAAGCACGAAACUUGCCCCGAGAUGAGUUCUCCCUGAGACUUAAAGUCUCCUGAAGGAACGUUGAAGACGACGACGUUGAUAGGCCGGG
rnacentral:rRNA from 1 species